GGUCUAAGGCACUGCAUCUCAGUGCUAGAGGCGUCACUACAGACCCUGGUUCAGCGGUCUAAGGCACUGCAUCUCAGUGCUAGAGGUGUCACUACAGACCCUGGUUCAGCGGUCUAAUGCACUGUAUCUCAGUGCUAGAGGUGCCACUACAGACCCUGGUUCGAAAUCCAGGCUGUAUCACAACCGGCCGUGAUUGGGAGUCCCGUAGGGCAGAGCACAAUUGGCCCAGCGUCGUCCGGGUUUUGGCCCCGGUGUAGGCCGUCAUUGUAAAUAAAGAAUUUAUUCUUAAACGGACUUGCCCUAGAUAUAUAAAGGUUACAUCAUUAUUAUUUUCAGUAUCACUUUCUCAGUAUCCCGUCUCUAUGCAACAGACUGACAGUAGCCAAGAAGUAGAGUUAGGUGCUCAAGGGGGCUACAGAGGACGAAGGUAGGAGA
ensembl:lncRNA